rnacentral:tRNA from 1 species
UAUGUUUUAGUAUAUGAUGUACAAAAAUUUUUGAUAUUUUUAGAAAUAGUUUAACUCUAUUAGGCAUAA